rnacentral:pre_miRNA from 1 species
UCUUUUGGAUAAGCAAAGAAAGUGGUUUCUUGAGAUGGAAUCUACUCCUGGUGAAGAUGCUGUGAA